UACACACAUACCGGAUACAGCAAAGUUUGUCACAUAACGAUACAUCCUGGAACAAUAACAUCAGACAUAAGGUAAGAAAAAGUUUGGGUUUUGGCAACACAAUUACAGAGACUGACAUUAACACUUUCAUAAAUGGUUUCCCGGUAAUAGAAGCAACCAAGCACAAAAUCAUUAAAGUUAUUCAGAAGUUGAAGCUUCAUCAAGAACUAUUAUAAACAAGAAAAUGUACUACCUGUCAUUCUUGGUUACUGUCAUCAGUUUUAUACAGUUGAAGAAAGCAGCUUAUUUACCUUCGAUAAUUUGGGAUAAAAGAAAUCCAAUUCUGCAGAAACGAUACUGGAAUCAAGUUGUUAAUCUUCAAAUAUUUGAUGAGCUUACAUUUAUCUGCCCACAUCGAGCAAUAAAUUUUCAAAGAAGGGAAGCACUGACUUCUUUGAAUGAGCUUUACUACCGAAUUUACGUAAAGCAAGUGCAGGCAGAUAUCAGGGAUUACAGUGAAGCAUGCGACUCUGGCGAAAACUCCACUGCAAAAAUGAUUCUUGAUUGCCAAGAUCCGGCCAAACUAACUUACGAAAGCAUACAAAUGAAUAUACGUCAAUCUCAUCCAGAUUUACCAGUUUUUGAAUAUAAAAAACACUAUAUGUUUUAUGCAACAUCAAAUGGAACACAACAAUCGUUGGGAAAUGAAUCAAGAAAUUGCACUAUCGUAUUUAGAAUUUACUUUGAUGAUAAAAAUAAACAAUCAACUGUUCAAUCAUGUCCUUUGUAUGAAAGACAAAAUGUUUGUAACUAUGCUGUAAAGACAACAGAAUGCAAAGUUUUGCCUCCUCCUGUUGACAUAAAAGUACAUUCUACAAGUGAAAAAACAAUACAAUUAUCAUGGACUAAACCACGUGGACAAUUAUGUGAUAUUGCCUUUUACACUGUGUGUUAUCGAAGCAAUGAAUCCCUGCCCUGUAACGAAGUAUCGGUAUCAGGUGAUCAGAACAGCGUUAUUUUAAAUGGAUUGAAAACUGGCAAAACUUACUUCGUUAAAAUGCGGGCUCAUUCGACUAACGGUCGUGGGAACUACAGCAAUGAAACAGAAUUUGUUACUGGUCGUGCAUUUGCAGCACAUCAGAAAAGAGAAUCUACAAAAAUUGAUAGUAAAUCCAUGGCAAUAGGAUUUGCAGCUGGUUUUGCCCUUUCUAUAAUUCUUGUCUUCAUUGUGUGGAUUAUGGCAAGAAUCCGAGAAAGAAGAAAACAAUCUGAAGAUCUCAAUGAUAAUGCAAAUUGCAAUAAUGUUCGUUGUAAAAAAGGUGAUGUUACGUCGACAAAUAACGAUGUUGACACAGGAUCUUGCGAAAGAUGGAAGUUACCAUCGUUGAGGGGCGAAGAGAAUCUUCAUCUCAGCGUUUCCGAGGCUUAACUCUCUCGGGGUAGGGUGGGGUGUAAUUUUACUCCUGUAAUGGCGAGGGGGAGGUAUUUCUAGUUUGUACAUUGAUCAUGAUAGAAUUGCAUCAAAAACAUACGAUUGGUCUGCUAAACUGUAUAGAAUUACCUAGGAAGGUUAAACUAUUCAUUAACGUUUAUUUUGAUGGCAACAAUCAAAUCCUACGCAAGAACAAUAGCUAUCUUCUUCACUAAUGAGUGCAAUUGCUAAAUUAAUUUACCUAACUAUAAAUCCUACCUCAUACCUACAUAUCCUACCUCAUACCUACAUAUCCUACUUCAUGCCUACAAUACCCUACCUUAUCUAUAGUAGUAACGAAGAUAUCGAUGAUUAUAAUUCUUAAUAUCAUCAGAUGAAGAUCGUCUUAAUCGUUGGUCCCUGGAAUGUUGACGAGUGUUGGAUGAAACUGAAUCGAUUGCUUGAAGAUUGUUGAGAUAUUUAUUACGAUAUUUUGCAGUAUGCAUCAAAGGCCAAGAAAAUCUAUCAAAAGAUCAUAAAUAUUUUAAAAGUUUUAUAAUAAGACAUCUAAGAUAAAGAAAGAAUUUGCGAGAGAGUUUAAUUGAUGACCGUAGGAACCAUAUUCAAUCAUGUGAUCGUUAUUGUUCUUGUUGGUCUCGUCAUUCACGACAGGUGUGGACAUAUACAUAGGUUGCGAAAGAGAACAUGCAUUGCUCACGUGCAUUUUGCUAAGAUUUAUGGGCUCUUGUAAGCAAGCUUUCAAAUUCUUAUCGAAAUGUUUUUCAUGAUAUUCAGACCAUUUCAUAUGGUUUAUGGAGUGAAGCUCUCGAUUGUUUUCUCUCCAGUCAACCAUGUUUUGUUUUAAAGGUAAGUCUUGUACCAGUUUAUCUGCACGUUUAAUGGCUGCACAUGCUCUCUUGACUAUAUCUUCCUGUUCUUUAGGAUACAUAUUCAGCAAAGAAAAUCCCACUUGCUCUAAAGAUUUGCCAUCGUCACAAUAACAGUUCUUUAGUUUACUUGAUACAUCAAGGCUAUUUGUGUUGAAAAGUUUAGGCUCAAAUGAUUCAAGAUAAUUUUUUGUGGUAUAUCGUCUGGUAGAGGUCAACGGUUCACUAUCACUAAUUUCCAUGACACUUGAACUCAUGUCUACACUGGGGUUCUCCAGUUCCAUACUCACAUGACCUAGAUCGGAUAUUUUCAUUGGUCCGUCAUCCUCAUAGAGAUCGUCUUUAACGUCAUCACAACUUUGGUUGUGAACGUCAGCAGUCUUGAUAGGUGAAACGUCAGGAGGUAAAUGGGAAUCAAUAUGAACAUCAGAGGAUUCAAGUACGUCACUGUUAAAGACAUUGUCACAAGAUAACCCAUCAAUGUUUAAAGACGACAUGUCUACAAGUGAAACAUAGAUAAAUGAUAGACGACAAUUUUUCCCAUUAUUCAAACAAAAGAAGUAGUAUUUUUUUAUCACCGUA